AUGAAUCUCACCGGCGCGCAUCCUAUUCACCGUUGUAACGGCAACGCCAGAGCAGAAAUCACAGACUAUCUUAGUUUCCUACUCAAAAUGCCAAUAUUUCUCACUGACACCAACAUUCGGGAAUGGCUAAACCACUGCCAAACACCAAAAUUGCUGGAGCUAAACGCGCAACAUGCAAAACGCGUAAAAACAAGAACAAAUGGUAAAAAUGCAGCAUCAAAGAGAGACACUUACAUGAUUUUGAGAAGAAAACGAGAGUGGACGAAGAAGACAUCUAGAGAUUGGAAUCAUCCAUCCAAGUCUCUCUUUCUCUCUCUCUCUCCUCAACCCCUUUACUACUUUAUUCAUUUUUUCAUUAAUGCAAUAAUAAACUUGAAUCAUCACUCAUCGUCAUCAAUUUUACAAGGGAUUAGGGAUUUUAGGGUUUUGUAA